rnacentral:rRNA from 1 species
GGGGAAAAUGGGGGGCUGCUAGAAUGCAAGUCGAACGAGGUGUCCCAAUGAAAAUGAAGUACUUGUACGGAAGAGGAUUUGGAUUCACACCUAGUGGCGAACGGGUGAGUAACGGGUAGGCAACCUGCCCUCAAGACGGGGAUACCAGUUGGAAACGACUGUUAAUACCGGAUAGUAUACAAUAUCGCAUGGUAAUGUAUUUAAAGGAGCUUCGGCUUCACUUGAGGAUGGGCCUGCUUUGUAUUAGAUAGUUGGUGAGGUAAUGGCUCACCAAGUCAACGAUGCAUAGCCGAACUGAGAGGUUGAACGGCCACACUGGAACUGAGACACGGUCCAGACUCCUACGGGAGGCAGCAGUUAGGGAUAUUGGGCAAUGGAGGAAACUCUGACCCAGCAAUGCCGCGUGAGUGAAGAAGUAUUUCGGUAUGUAAAACUCUGUUGUAUGGGAGGAAAGAACUAGUAGGAAAUGGCUAGGAGAUGACUGUACCAUACGAGAAAGUCACGGCUAACUACGUGCCAGCAGCCGCGGUAAUACGUAGGUGGCAAGCGUUAUCCGGAAUUAUUGGGCGUAAAGGGUGCGUAGGUGGCAUGUUAAGUCUGGUGUAAAAGGCAAUAGCUCAACUAUUGUAUGCAUUGGAAACUGGCAAGCUAGAGUGUGUGAGAGGUAAGUGGAAUUCCAAGUGUAGCGGUGGAAUGCGUAGAUAUUUGGAGGAACACCAGUGGCGAAGGCGGCUUACUGGCACACAACUGACACUGAGGCACGACAGCGUGGGGAGCAAAUAGGAUUAGAUACCCUAGUAGUCCACGCCGUAAACGAUGAGCGCUAAGUGUUGGCCAUUAGUUUGGUCAGUGCUGAAGCAAACGCAUUAAGCGCUCCGCCUGAGGAGUACGGUCGCAAGGCUGAAACUCAAAGGAAUUGACGGGUCCCCGCACAAGCGGUGGAACAUGUGGUUUAAUUCGAAGAUACGCGAAGAACCUUACCUACACUUGACAUCCCUCUGACAGAUAUAGAGAUAUAUUUUUCUUCGGACAGAGGUGACAGGUGGUGCAUGGUUGUCGUCAGCUCGUGUCGUAGAAUGUUGGGUUAAGUCCCGCAACGAGGCCAACCCCUAUGAAUAGUUGCUAACAUUUAAGUUGAGGAC